UCCAUCUGUGUUUCACUAUCAUCCGUUGCCUAUGAUAUAAAAGAUGGCCGUGAGACUUAGUGCUAUGAAUUUGAUGCUGGGAACUCUCCUACUUGCUCUUGCUUCCAUCUCGACUACGUCUUUAGCAGCUAGAGUUAUCGUUGGUGACUCGGCACAUUGGACCUUCGGGUAUAACUACACAGAAUGGGCGAACAAAAGUUCCCCUUUCUAUCAAAAUGAUACCUUGGUGUUCAUUUACGAUCCUCCGAACAGCACCACGUUUCCACACAGCGUGUACCUGAUGAAGAACCUGCGCAGCUUUAUUGCGUGCGACCUGAGGAAGGCGAAGCUCGUGGCCAACGUCUUGCAAGGAGGCGGCGACGGCUUCGAGUUCGUCCUAAAGAAGAGGAAGCCACACUACUUCGCGUGCGGGGAGCGCAAUGGCAUUCAUUGCAGCGUUGGGCUGAUGAAGUUUGCUGUGUUACCUCUGAGGCGUUGCCAUGGCUGAAGGAUGGAUGAUUGAGGAAGAAGAUAGUAUAUACACAGCAAUACAUCUCCUCUUUCCAAAUGAUUUUUCUGAAUAACUGAGAGGAGUGCAACACCUUUUAUGAAACCUUCUUUCGUCUUCAUUUAUAUGAAAAGGUUUAUUUUCACCGAC